rnacentral:rRNA from 1 species
GUAAGCUACUAAGAGCGAAUGGUGGAUGCCUUGGUUGGUAGAGGCGAUGAAAGACGUGCUAGACUGCGAUAAGUCUCGGGGAGUUGUCAAGGAGCUUUGAUCCGGGAAUUUCUGAAUGGGGAAACCCAGUAUAUAGUGAUAUAUACUACCUAUAUGGAGCAAACGUGGGGAAUUGAAACAUCUUAGUACCCACAGGAAAAGAAAUCAAAUGAGAUUACGAAAGUAGCGGCGAGCGAAAUCGUAAAAGGGCAAACCACUAGUUUACUAGUGGGGUUGUAGGACUGUAACAUAGACUAAAAAGAGUUAAUAGAAUAAUCUGGAAAGUUUAAGCAUAGAGGGUGAUACUCCCGUAUAUGAAAACUCUUUUUUACUUAACAGUAUCCUGAGUAGGGCGAGGCACGUGAAACCUUGUCUGAAUCUGGGAAGACCACUUUCCAACCCUAAAUACUACUACCAAACCGAUAGUGAACAAGUACCGUGAGGGAAAGGUGAAAAGAACGGGGGUGACCCGAGUGAAAUAGAACCUGAAACCAUUUGCUUACAAUCAUUCAGAGCACGAUUCUUUAUGACGUGUGAUGGACUGCCUUUUGCAUAAUGAGCCUGCGAGUUGUGAUAUCUGGCAAGGUUAAGGAAAUCCGGAGCCGUAGCGAAAGCAAGUCUUAAUAGGGCGUUUAGUCAGAUAUUGCAGACCCGAAACGAAGUGAUCUAUCCAUGAGCAGGUUGAAACCGGUGUAAGAGCCGGCGGAGGACCGAACCCGCUGACGUUGAAAAGUCUUGGGAUGACUUGUGGAUAGGGGUGAAAGGCCAAUCAAACUUCGUGAUAGCUGGUUCUCUCCGAAAUAUAUUUAGGUAUAGCGUUAUGUAGUAAUUAGAGGGGGUAGAGCACUGAAUGGGCUAGGGCAUACACCAAUGUACCAAACCCUAUCAAACUCCGAAUACCUUUAAUGUAAUCAUAGCAGUCAGGCGGCGAGUGAUAAAAUCCGUCGUCAAAAGGGGAACAACCCAGACUACCGACUAAGGUCCCAAAAUCUUAUUUAAGUGGAAAACGAUGUGAAGUUACUUAAACAACCAGGAGGUUGGCUUAGAAGCAGCCAUCCUUUAAAGAUAGCGUAAUAGCUCACUGGUCUAGUGAUUUUGCGCGGAAAAUAUAACGGGGCUAAAAUAAGUACCGAAGUCGUAGACUUAGUUUUACUAAGUGGUAGGAGAGCGUUGUAUUUAGCGUUGAAGAUGUACCGGUAAGGAGCGUUGGAGCAAAUACAAGUGAGCAUGCAGGCAUGAGUAGCGUUAAAUCAGGUGAGAAUCCUGAUCGCCGAAAACCCAAGGUUUCCUACGCGAUGCUCGUCAUCGUAGGGUUAGUCGGGUCCUAAGCAAAGUCCGAAAGGGGUAUGCGAUGGAAAAUUGGUUAAUAUUCCAAUACCAAUUAUUAUGUGCGAUGGAAGGACGCUUAAAGUUAGUGGAGCUAACUGAUGGAAUAGUUAGUCUAAGGUCGUAGGUUGAGUUAUAGGCAAAUCCGUAACUCUUUAUCCGAAAGCUUAAAGGCUUACAAAGCUCUUCGGAGUAGCGUAAGAAUCCAUGAUACUAUAGAGCCAAGAAAAGUUUCUAAGUUUAGUAAUAAUUGCCCGUACCGUAAACCGACACAGGUGGGUGGGAUGAGUAUUCUAAGGCGCGUGGAAGAACUCUCUUUAAGGAACUCUGCAAAAUAGCACCGUAUCUUCGGUAUAAGGUGUGCCUACCAGGGUGCAAGCCCUAGAGGUUACAACAAAGAGUCCCUCCCGACUGUUUACCAAAAACACAGCACUCUGCUAACACGUAAGUGGAUGUAUAGGGUGUGACGCCUGCCCGGUGCUCGAAGGUUAAUUGAUGGAGUUAGCAUUAGCAAAGCUCUUGAUCGAAGCCCGAGUAAACGGCGGCCGUAACUAUAACGGUCCUAAGGUAGCGAAAUUCCUUGUCGGUUAAAUACCGACCUGCAUGAAUGGCGUAACGAGAUGGGAGCUGUCUCAAAGAGGGAUCCAGUGAAAUUGUAGUGGAGGUGAAAAUUCCUCCUACCCGCGGCAAGACGGAAAGACCCCGUGGACCUUUACUAUAGCUUGACACUGCUACUUGGAUAAAGAUGUGCAGGAUAGGUGGGAGAUUAUGAUCUAUAGAUGCUAGUCUAUAAGGAGUCAUCCUUGAGAUACCACUCUUCUUUAUUCGGGUAGCUAACUAGCCUAAGUUAUCCUUAGGUAGGACAAUGUCUGGUGGGUAGUUUGACUGGGGCGGUCGCCUCCCAAAUAAUAACGGAGGCUUACAAAGGUUGGUUCAAAACGGUUGGAAAUCGUUUGUAGAGUAUAAAGGCAAAAACCAGCUUAACUGCGACACCGACAAGUGGAGCAGAGACGAAAGUCGGUCUUAGUGAUCCGGUGGUUCUGUGUGGAAGGGCCAUCGCUCAAAGGAUAAAAGGUACCCCGGGGAUAACAGGCUGAUCUCCCCCAAGAGCUCACAUCGACGGGGAGGUUUGGCACCUCGAUGUCGGCUCAUCGCAUCCUGGGGCUGGAGCAGGUCCCAAGGGUAUGGCUGUUCGCCAUUUAAAGCGGUACGCGAGCUGGGUUCAGAACGUCGUGAGACAGUUCGGUCCCUAUCUGCCGUGGGCGUAAGAAGAUUGAGGAGAGUUGACCCUAGUACGAGAGGACCGGGUUGAACCAACCACUGGUGUAUAAGUUGUCCUGCCAAGGGCACCGCUUAGUAGCUAAGUUGGGAUGUGAUAAGAGCUGAAAGCAUCUAAGCUCGAAGCCAACUCCAAGAUUAAUCUUCUUUUAAGAGCUCUUAUAGACUAUAAGUUUGAUAGGCUGGGUGUGUAAUUGAUGUAAGUCAUUUAGCUGACCAGUACUAAUAGCUCGUUUGCUUAUCUAUU